AUUGAACGCUGGCGGCAGGCCUAACACAUGCAAGUCGAACGAGUGGCGGACGGGUGAGUAAUGUCUGGGCAACUGCCUGAUGGACGGGGAUAACGUCUGUAAACGUUAGCUACUUCUGCAUACCAUCAUAUGUGUCCAGAUGGGAGUAGCUAGUUGGUGGGGUAAUGGCUCACCAAGGCGACGAUUCCUAGCUGGUCUGAGAGGAGGACCAGCCACACUGGAACUGAGACACGGGCCAGACUCCUACGGGAGGCAGCAGUGGGGAAUAUUGCACAAUGGGCGCAAGCCUGAUGCAGCCAUGCCGCGUGUAUGAAGAAGGCCUUCGGGUUGUAAAGUACUUUCAGCGGGGAGGCGUUACCCGCAGAAGAAGCACCGGCUAACUCCGUGCCAGCAGCCGCGGUAAUUCC
rnacentral:rRNA from 1 species